GACGAACGCUGGCGGCGUGCUUAACACAUGCAAGUCGAACGGAAAGGCCCUGCUUUUGUGGGGUGCUCGAGUGGCGAACGGGUGAGUAACACGUGAGUAACCUGCCCUUGACUUUGGGAUAACUUCAGGAAACUGGGGCUAAUACCGGAUAGGAGCUCCUGCUGCAUGGUGGGGGUUGGAAAGUUUCGGCGGUUGGGGUUGGACUCGCGGCUUACCAGCUUGUUGGUGGGGUAGUGGCUUACCAAGGCUUUGACGGGUAGCCGGCCUGGGAGGGUGACCGGCGACAUUGGGACUGAGAUACGGCCCAGACUCCUACGGGAGGCAGCAGUGGGGAAUAUUGCACAAUGGGCGGAAGCCUGAUGCAGCAACGCUGCGUGCGGGAUGACGGCCUUCGGGUUGUAAACCGCUUUCGCCUGUGACGAAGCGUGAGUGACGGUAAUGGGUAAAGAAGCACCGGCUAACUACGUG
rnacentral:rRNA from 1 species